GUUUUUGGCACGCUGACCUGGCAGCCCACAGCCCACAGGGAAGCACAGCAGCUAUCAGUGCAAAGCGGCAGGGACCAAGCGGCCUCGCCGGACCCAGCUUCAAACACAGCACAGGGCUCAGCGUGGGGCUUAGGGAAAAUGCUCUUACGAGAUGAAGAUAUUUGCACUGAAUGGAUGGAAUGGUUUGGUUUCUGAAUGUCUUUCUCAUCUUUGUGGGGUAGAUGUGUGUACAGGCAUGCAUCCCCAUGGGUAGAUGAAGACCUCGCUUGGUGUUUUGGGGAGAUAGUGUCCUGGGAUGGAAAAUCUGAUAGAGCCAGGCUUGGGAGAUCCUAGGAGGAGCUGGAGAGACCAACUGUGAGGCUCAGGUGGUAUCCAAAGCACCCCCGGUGCAAGUGGC